rnacentral:lncRNA from 1 species
GGCCCGGGAGGUGGGGCCGGUUAGGGCGAGGGUCCCCGGGAUCGUAGUGUCAGGCCUUGGGCCAACGUAGGCACUCGCAGUUCCUCCGCCUUCAGGAAGGUCUUUUUGGCAGGGGCCUUACGGGUGCGCGCUUCGGUCCUGGAGGCGUUAUCCUAGCCUCCUCUCCAUCAGCGCCACCCGUCUGGGGCCCGAUAGGAGGGAGCUUUCUGUCUGUCCCCCAGCCUUUGGACUGUCACCAAACAAGCCAUCCGUUCACCAAAUACUUAUUAAGCGCCUACCAUGUGUCUGGCAAGGGAGGUGUAACAGUGAGAAAAACUAGGUGUGGUCCAGGCCCUCCAGGGGCUCAGGGGCUCGUGGAAGAAGUGGACAUUGAAGUACUUACCACACAAAUGAGCAUGAAAGUACAAUAGCAAUAUCUGCCACGAAGGCGAGCAGACAGAGCUAGCAGGGCUUCCAGGAGGAGUUUUGAUCUUGCAGGGACAGGAAGGAGGAGUUAGCUCCUGGGGGGCGGGAUUGGGGGUGGUGGUGAUAUAGACGUGGGGACAGAGUGGAAAACAACAAAAAUAUAAUUAUUUUAGUUCAAAGUUAUUGUGUCUUGAGUUGAAAGGCAGGGCAGUUAGCGACACGGUUCAGAUUUCAGUACUGCCCCUGAAAUCUGAAUUGUGUUCAAAGUCUAAAACGUUUACCUUAGCAAAUCCCUCAUAAAACUCCAUUUGGAAGAGUCCCGAGAGCUAAUUUGUUAAGUAUACUUGCAGAAGGUAGAUGAGGAGACAGAUUAAAUCUUAUUACCUCUUUCAGAUGAGAGGCACUUGAGCCCUGCUCAGCCGUGAGAAUAAGAGGGGGAAUUAAUUCUAAUUGAAUACACUUGUUCUCUCACAGCUGUUGUUCCCCACCAGAACCAAAUGAGCGCAAGAUCUGACAAAGAAAAAAAAAGGUUCAUCUUUUAUUCCGCCAAACACUUUCAUCUAAAUCAAGAGGGUGGGAUGUGGUUAUUGCUGUGUUUUUAGACAGAAUCAACAGUUUCUGGGUCUGAGAUAUUGCAUACACCCUCUCAGUCCCUGUAUCCUCAGAUGGAGUCACCUGAGAAUCCACAGCAAGUCCUAACCGGGGAUGGGUCUGGGUGGUUAAGGAAGGUUGGCCUCAGAACUGGGCCAGGGGCACUGCUUUGCUUUUGCUGUUUUGAUCAGCUCUCUGCCCGCAGGAGACAAGGAAAACCAAUGGGAACAGGUCUAGCUGGAGUACAGUGAUGCAGUCAUAGCCCACUGCAGCCUCAAAAUUCCUGGGCUCAAGCAAUCCACCCACAUCAGCUUCCCAAGUAGUUGGGACUACAGGCCCACACUACUAUACCCAGACCAACAGAUAUUCUAGCAUAUAAGAAAUGUGAUGCUCUCUGUACAUUGAAGAGUUGGUCUAAUAUUUGGCCUGGUGGAUACAGAAAUUGCCUGUCUGCUCCGCUCUGGUUGAAGAAACCAGUCCGACUGUCUCUGAGGCUAUGGAGCAGUCCAUCAAGAAUGAAAGCCCUCGGCUGGCACGUUGGCUCACACCUGUAAUACCAGCGCUUUGGGAGGCUGAGGCAGGUGGAUCACUUGAAGUCACGAAUUCGACACCAGCAUGGCCAACAUGGUGAAACCCUCUCUCUACAGAAAAUAGAAAAAUUAGCUGGGCCUAGUGACGUGUGCCUGUAAUCCCAGCUACUCAGGAGGCUGAGGCAGGAGAAUCACUUGAUCCUGGGAGGCAGAGCUUGCAGUGGGGAGCUGAGAUCACACCACUGCCUUCCAGCCUGGGCGACAGAGUGAGACUCUCUCAAAAAAAAAAAAAAAAAAAAAAAAAAGAAAGUCCUCAUGAUGGCCUCAAGCACAUUGGUCCCUGAAGAGAGUCAAGGAAGGCCCACUUUACUCUGCACUGCAAAGCAGGCAGGUGGACAGGAUGAGAAGUGGAUUCAGUGAGAGGCAUUGACUCAAAGGAUUUUCUGCCUAAUGGUCGGUUCAGCAGAAGAUUAAACUGAGCACAGCAUCCUGUUCCCUCAAACUAUCUGGUUGGUCAGUGGGGAAUGUUCUUGUCUCAUUAAAUGUCCUCAUGCUACUGUCAAGAUAUCCUGUUACAAAACAUCAUAAAUCAGGUUUACAAAUAG